GAUGAAGAACGUAGCGAAAUGCGAUAAGUAAUGUGAAUUGCAGAAUUCAGUGAAUCAUCGAAUCUUUGAACGCACAUUGCGCCCUCUGGUAUUCCGGGGGGCAUGCCUGUUCGAGCGUCAUUAUAACCACUCAAGCUCUCGCUUGGUAUUGGGGUUCGCGGUUUCGCGGCCCCUAAAAUCAGUGGCGGUGCCUGUCGGCUCUACGCGUAGUAAUACUUCUCGCGAUUGAGUUCGAUAGGUCUACUUGCCAGUAACCCCCAAUUUUUACAGGUUGACCUCGGAUCAGGUAGGGAUACCCGCUGAACUUAGGCAUAUCAAUAAGCGGAGGA
rnacentral:misc_RNA from 1 species